AUUGAACGCUGGCGGCAGGCCUAACACAUGCAAGUCGAGCGGAGCGGCGGGCGGGUGGGUAAUGACUAGGAGUCUGCCUGGUCGUGGGGGAUAACGUACGGAAAGGGGCGCUAAUACCGCCUACUCUCUGAUGAGCGUAGGUCGGAUGAGCUAGUUGGUGGGGUAAAGGCCUACCAAGGCGACGAUCCGUACCUGGUCUGAGAGGAUGAUCAGUCACACUGGAACUGAGACACGGUCCAGACUCCUACGGGAGGCAGCAGUGGGGAAUAUUGGACAAUGGGCGAAAGCCUGAUGCAGCCAUGCCGCGUGUAUGAAGAAGGUCUUAGGAUUGUAAAGCACUUUAAGUUGGGAGGCGUUACCAACAGAAGAAGCACCGGCUAACUCCGUGCCAGCCGCCGCGGUAAUAC
rnacentral:rRNA from 1 species